rnacentral:lncRNA from 10 species
AAAGCUGUCAGACAGGGACAUUUAAGUCUGCAGAGGUUACUGCUGUCUUUUUGUUUGUCUGUGCCCUGGCCCCAGAGGUGGAGCCUACAGAGGCAGGCAGGCCUCCUUGAGCUGUGGUGGGCUCCACCCAGUUCGAGCUUCCCUGCUGCUUUGUUUACCUAAGCAAGCCUGGGCAAUGGCGGGCGCCCCUCCCCCAGCCUCGCUGCCGCCUUGCAGUUUGAUCUUAGACUGCUGUGCUAGCAAUCAGCGAGACUCCGUGGGCGGGCGUAGGACCCUCCGAGCCAGGUGCGGGUUAUAAUCUCGUGGUGCGCCGUGUUUUAAGCCUGUCGGAAAAGCGCAGUAUUCGGGUGGGAGUGACCCAAUUUUCCAGGUGCGUCCGUCACCCCUUUCUUUGACUAGGAAAGGGAACUCCCUGACCCCUUGCGCUUCCCGAGUGAGGCCCUCGCCCUGCUUCGGUUCGCGCACGGUGCGCGCACCCACUGGCCUGCGCCCACUGUCUGGCACUCCCUAGGAGAUGAACCCGGUACCUCAGAUGGAAAUGCAGAAAUCACCCGUAUUCUGCGUCGCUCACGCUGGGAGCUGUAGACGGGAGCUGUUCCUAUUCGGCCAUCUUGGCUCCUCCCCCUGAAAAUCAUUUUCUACCAAAACUUUGAAGGCGGUAUUCUGCUGUCUUCCAGCAUACAGGAUUGCUGAUGAGAAGUCUAUCAGUCUGAUUCUCAUUCCAAUGUAAGUAAUCUGUUUUGCUUUUUCUAAUUCUUUUAAGAUAUUCUCUUUAGCUUAGAGUUCUGAAAUUUCACCAGGUUGUGUUUAGGCAUGGGUAUUUUGGGUUUUUGUUUGUUUUCUGUCUAAUUCUGUAUGGCUGAUAUGAUUUUUUUCCAUCUAAAGACACUUGUCUUUCUCCAACUAAGAAAAAUUGUGUUCUGGAACUUGAAUUUCUUGGGUCUAUCCUCCAUGCCUUGAGUUUUCUCUCAUAUUUUCCACCAUUUAUUUUAUUUCUCUACAUUCCAGUAAAUUUCGUUUUCCAGAACAUCAACUUGGUCGUCAGCAAAUCCAUUAUUCCUGUUUUACUUACGAGUAUUCUUUUCUUUGGUAUUUACUGACUGUUCUUUUUUUCACCGUAGCUGUUUUUUGUUUGUCUGUUUUCAGAAAUGGGGUCUCACUCUGUUGCCCCAGCUGGAGUGCAAUGGCAGUAUCACAGCUCACUGCAGCCUCAAACUCCUAGGCUCAAGGGAUCCUCCUGCCUCAGCCUCCCAAACAGCUGAGAUUACAGGCACAUGCCACCACACCUGGCAGCCUCAUUAUUUUAUCAGUGCAAUCUCCUCUUGAAAAUCUUUAAGGAUACUAAUAAUUUUUUCAAGUUCUCCUCUGCUCCCUAAAUUAUCUGUUUUCUCUGGGCUCAGUUUUUUGGGUUUAUUAAUCUUGGACCUUGUGUUUAAUGCUAUGGUUUUUUUCUCAAAUUCUUGUAAAUCAUAAUCCACAAAUGAAGAGCUUGGAGGAUUAAUAGAGAUGGUUAGUGUUGGUUUUCGUUUUAGCCAUGUAUGUGUUUCCCCAAGAAAAGUUCUUCUUGAAUAGCUGCUUUAAAAUUCUCACAUGCUAAUUGCAAUAUCUUAGUCAUUUCAAGACCAGUCUUUGUUGUCCUUUCCUAUAUGGGUUCUGUUUUUCUGUUUCCUUUUAUGUAGACCAAUUUUGGAUUUUGUCUUAGACAUUGGAAUAAUAUAUUGUAAAGACUCUGGAUGCUAUUCUAUUAUGUUCCUCUAAAAACUUUUUUUUAAAGCAGGCAGUUAAAUUGGCUGAAAAACUGUAAUGAGCAGUAACUCAAAUCUCAGUCCAAUUCUUUUAGUCUUCAUUUAGGCUGCUUGGAAUCUUCCCUGUGUAUGGUUAGUUCAAAGUGUGGAGGUCAGCCACAGCAUUUGGGCAGAAUUUAUAUGCACAGUAUGGGGUUCCCCUUCUUUGGCUUUCAAUUUUGGGGAAUUUCCUUCUCACUUUUCAGAGGUGAUGAAUGCCCCCAAACUCUGUCCUCUGGUAUUUCAAGCCAGCAAGACGAUGGAUUUUUUUUUUACCUGGGUUUUUAGCCAUCCACCCCCACCCUUUACCCCUGCAUGACACAGAUGAGCCUGCCCUCAGGCCAAAAGCCUUAAAAAAAUAACAAUAAACAAAAAAAUUAAAAAAACUCACCUAGCGCCAUUCCCUUUUUUCAAAUGUUGACUCCUUGCCCCUUCUUUCAAUUGCUUUCAACUACUUUCAACUAGCUGUAUUCUAUAUUUUGCCCAAAGUGUACAGUUAUCUGUGGAAGUGUUAGUCUAAAGGAGGCACAAGACCAUUGUCUGAAGUGGAUACUCUCACUUGAUUGGAAAGAGCAGGUUUGAGGUUCCAUAUAAGGGCAGGAGUUACAGCAGCAGGUGCCCUGUAGCGUUUGUGAGCAGGGAAGUGGUAUGGCAGCUGGGAACAUAUCAAAAAAUAAAAGGAAUUUACUCAUGGCUGAGGUGAGUGUUUCUGUGUAAAUAUCUCCUGGGCAGAGUGAUUGUAACCUUUUAAAAUUUCCCUUCCACGUCUGUGAUAUGAGUCCCACAAUGUCUGCUCUGCUUCCCCUUCAAGGCACAGCAGCCAUACUAGGAGGCCUCCCCCUAAAACCGCACCCCCUUUCCACAGAGAGCACUCCUCCAGAUUUUAUCUUGAAGGAGGCCACCCUGUGUCUAUGGAGGAAGGUGGGGGAUGACCAGCUGAUAGGGAAUGCACCCUUUAAUGCGUUACCCUGACAAGUAUUCCAUAGUUCCCUAAUGUUGUAUGGAUGAGCCAAGUUCCUAGCUUCCCUACGGCUCCCUUGGGAAGAACCACAUUCAUCUCUAGUGACUUCAAUUCCUCUGUUUUCACUUCUUCAUUGGUUUGAUCACAUCUGCUUAUCUUUGAAGAAUUUCUCAAAAUAUCUGACCUGCUGAUGUUCUCUCUAGCACUGUUAUGAUUUAAUUCUUAUUUUAACAUCUUUUCUAUUAAUUCAGUAAAAGAUUGGGAGAAAGGGAAGUUCAGUACAAUAGGUCUUUUUACCCUAAAUAC